CUCAAAAAUAAGGUUUGAAUUACAGUUUACACCCUGUAUUCUUAAAUUUCUCUGACAAAAGUGUCAUGUCCGUCUUAUCUGCGAUUGUUUGUCCCGCCUUCAUAUUUGGACUCAAGCCUCGCGAUUCCAGACGGAUUUCUCAUUGAGAAAGACGGCU